rnacentral:tRNA from 2 species
GGGGGCAUAGCUCAGUUGGGAUGAGCGCUACCUUGACACGGUAGAGGUCACAGGUUCGAUCCCUGUUGCUCCCACCA